GUGUCAGCAGCCGCGGUAAUACGGAGGGUGCAAGCGUUAUCCGGAUUCACUGGGUUUAAAGGGUGCGUAGGCGGGUAUAUAAGUCAGUGGUGAAAGCUCCGAGCUUAACUUGGAAACUGCCAUUGAUACUGUAUAUCUUGAAUGUCGUUGAGGUUAGCGGAAUGUUGCAUGUAGCGGUGAAAUGCUUAGAUAUGUUACAGAACACCAAUUGUGAAGACAGCUAACUAAGCGAUGAUUGACGCUGAGGCACGAAAGCGUGGGGAGCAAACAGGAUUAGAAACCCGUGUAGUCC
rnacentral:rRNA from 1 species